CACUUCUCCGCACGUAGGAAGCCCAAUCGAUUGACUGAGCGAUCGAUCGGCACAUGCGCACUCGCCACCAUCUGGCGAUCGAUGGGAUAGGGUGGAAGUUCCAAGUCCUUUCUCACAGGUUAGAAAUGGACGGUCACGUUUAAGAGGAUCUGUCUUGGACCCAGCAUGUAAGUGCAAUUGCGAAGAAAGUACCUCAACUUCCUUAGGAGUCUGCGGAGGUCCGGCAUGGCAUCUGAUACUUUAACAAACUUGUAUAGAUGUGUAGUGGAGAGUAUAUUGACAGGCUGCAUUGCAGCUUGGUACGGAAACGCCAAUGCCUUUGAACGGAAAAUCCCUCAAAAACUAGUGCGUAUGGCCCAGUACAUCCCGAGUAAAGCCCUCCCAACCAUUGAGCACAUAUAAACGAAACGUUGCUGUAGAAAAGCAGCCUCCAUCAUCAGAGAUCCCCACCACCCUGGCCAUUGGGUAGAAGGUGCAAGAGCCUCACGACUGGCAGCACCAGGUUCAAGAUCAGUUACUACCCUUCAACCAUCAAACUCUUAAACAGAAGAGGAUAACUACACUCACUUGCUCAUCCAUUGAAAUGUUCCUGACCAAUAAUCUAACUUUAACUCGUUAUCUCAUGUUCUCAGUAUUUAUUUAUAUUUGAUUUGCACAGUAUGUUGUCUUCUGCACUCUGGCUGAUCUUCCAUUGAUCCUGUUAUAGUUACUAUUCUAUAGAUUUGCUGAGUAUGCCUGCAGGAAAAUUAAUCUCAGUGUUCUAUAUGGUAACAUGUAGGUACUUUGACAAUAAAUGUACUUUGAGUUUUUGAAUUUUC